rnacentral:rRNA from 1 species
GACGAACGCUGGCGGCGCGCCUAACACAUGCAAGUCGAGCGGAGAUACUUGAAGGAAGUUUUCGGAUGGAAUUUGAGUAUUUUAGCGGCGGACGGGUGAGUAACGCGUGAGUGAUCUGCCUUCCACAGGGGGAUAACGUACCGAAAGGUACACUAAUACCGCAUGAGACCACAGCACUGCCUGGUGCAGGGGUCAAAGGAGCAAUCCGGUGGAAGAUGGACUGGCGUCCGAUUAGAUAGUUGGUGGGGUAACGGCCGACCAAGUCAGCGAUCGUUAGCCGACCUGUGAGGCUGAUCGGCCACAUUUGAACUGAGAGCCGGUCCAAACUCCUACGGGAGACAGCAGUGGGGAAUAUUGGGCAAUGGGGGAAACCCUUACCCAGCGACGCCGCGUGAGGGAAGAAGGUUUUCGGAUUGUAAACCUCUGUUCUUGGUGAAGAGGGAAAGACGGUAGCCAAGGAGGAAGCCCCGGCUAACUACGUGCCAGCAGCCGCGGUAA